rnacentral:snoRNA from 1 species
UCGUCAGUAAAGUUAAUCCUUACCUGUUCCUCCUUUUGGAGAACAGAGAUAAAAUGAUGAUUGGAGCUCUCAUGAUAUAUGAUUAGCGUCUCCAUGUGAGCAGGACUUGAAAAAAAAAGUAGAUAUCAGAA